rnacentral:rRNA from 1 species
UACAGAGGUCCCAAGCGUUGUUCGGAUUCACUGGGCGUAAAGGGUGCGUAGGCGGUCGGGUAAGUCUGAUGUGAAAUCUCCAAGCUCAACUUGGAAAUGGCAUCGGAUACUAUUCGGCUCGAGGAAUGGAGGGGAGACUGGAAUACUUGGUGUAGCAGUGAAAUGCGUAGAUAUCAAGUGGAAUACCAGUGGCGAAGGCGAGUCUCUGGACAUUUCCUGACGCUGAGGCACGAAAGCCAGGGGAGCAAACGGG